rnacentral:lncRNA from 1 species
CUUUGGUACUGGACUAACUGAAUUUUUAAUUCAAGGAUGGAAGGCUUCUGGGCACAGUCAAGUACUUGCGAAGUCAGAGUGUGAUCGAGAUGGGAUUGACCACUCUAAGAGUUGGAGAAGAAUGAGUCACUGUAUUUCAAUUUAGCAAAACUUUGAUCAGGGUAAUCCAUCAGAUGGAUUUGAUAUUUUGAAAUACAAUGUGGACAACCUGAUCAGAGUUGACAGUUAAACUCUGGGGUGUCCUAUGAUCAUUUUGGUCAAGGGGAUGAAUUAUAUGAAAACUAUAUCCGCAUGGGUUCUAAGGAUGUUAUUCUACACAUUCGACCUAUCUGGUCAUCGGGUACCAUUGCUAGAUGGUCACUUCGAUUAGUACAGAAAUUUAUUCCUGUACUAUCGAUUUAGGUUUGGACCUAUGAGGUCACACUCAUUAGAGUUCAUGGUCCGAUCGGAUGGUUGAUCAACGAUUAAAAAUCGUUCUAAGGUUAAAUGAUCAAUACGAUUGACAUUUAACCCAGUGCAAGUAUUGCAGGAGGAUCGAUUAGCAAUUCGAUUGCUAAUUGGCUUAAUUUGAUUAAGCCAAUGGGUUGAGAUUAAGUAUAAUUAAAUAUGAUUUAAUUAGAUUUGGUUUGUGCUUGAUUGGAUCAAGUCCAAUUGAUUUAUUGGAUAAGCC